CUACGGGGGGCUGCAGUGAGGAAUAUUGCACAAUGGGGGGAACCCUGAUGCAGCAACGCCGCGUGGAGGAUGACGCAUUUCGGUGUGUAAACUCCUUUUAUAUGUCAAGAAAAUGACGGUAGCAUAUGAAUAAGCACCGGCUAACGCCGUGCCAGCAGCCGCGGUAAUACGGAGGGUGCAAGCGUUACUCGGAAUCACUGGGCGUAAAGGACGCGUAGGCGGGUUGGAAAGUCAGGUGUGAAAUCCUACAGCUUAACUGUAGAACUGCACUUGAAACUUCUAAUCUAGAGUAUGGGAGGGGGAGAUGGAAUUAGUGGUGUAGGGGUAAAAUCCGUAGAUAUCACUGGGAAUACCUAAAGCGAAGGCGAUCUCCUGGAACAUUACUGACGCUAAGGCGUGAAAGCGUGGGGAGCAAACAGGAUUAGAUACCCCGGUAGUC
rnacentral:rRNA from 1 species